rnacentral:rRNA from 1 species
AACGAACGCUGCGGCGCGUCUUAAGCAUGCAAGUCGGACGGCAAGGAGGAGCUUGCUCCUUCCUAGAGUGCGGACUGGUGAGUAACGCGUGGAUGACGGUACCUCUCGGAUGGGGACAGCCGGCAGAAAUGCCGGAUAAUACCGAAUAAAGUCCUGUGGAGUAAAUACACAGGAUGAAAGCGGCUUCGGCCGCGCCGGGAGAGCGGUUUGCGUCCUAUCAGCUAGUUGGCGAGGUAAAGGCUCACCAAGGCGACGACGGGUAUCCGGCCUGAGAGGGUGAACGGACACAUUGGGACUGAGAUACGGCCCAGACUCCUACGGGAGGCAGCAGU